rnacentral:rRNA from 1 species
UACGUAGGGCGCAAGCGUUUGUCCGGAAUUAUUGGGCGUAAAGAGCUCGUAGGCGGCUUGUCACGUCGGUUGUGAAAGCCCGGGGCUUAACCCCGGGUCUGCAGUCGAUACGGGCAGGCUAGAGUGUGGUAGGGGAGAUCGGAAUUCCUGGUGUAGCGGUGAAAUGCGCAGAUAUCAGGAGGAACACCGGUGGCGAAGGCGGAUCUCUGGGCCAUUACUGACGCUGAGGAGCGAAAGCGUGGGGAUCAAACAGG